UUUGCAGCACUGUGUCCUAAACAGGCAUGACACAAGAAGUUUGCAGUUACAAGUCUGUCCACACUCAAAAUAAAAAUCACAGCAAAUCUGAUGUUUUAACCAAUGAGGUUCCACUGGGGACGGGGAUACAGAGAUCAUCAUGACAGAAGAAAUCUAUUGGAAGUAGUUUGCUAUCUGGUCACCUUUGGCAUACUUUAUAUUAGCAUAUUAUGAUUUGGUACACACUCCUUAGCUCAUACUUAUUUAGAACAGAUAGUAUGUAAAAUGGGAUUCAGUCGCUAUCAGCAGGAGAGCUACUUUAGGUUCAUUUCCUCUCAUCAGGACGAUUGGCAGAAAACCCCCAUGACUCAGAAGACGAGCACAGUCACUGUGGGAUGUCCCCCUCUUCACUGGCAGACAGUGCAGCCGCUGCAUCUGCGCCUGAUGCAAACUAACAGCACUCCAAAUCCUGUACUAUGCUGUCUCCUGGAUGUACUCCAGGUUUUGUUUCAUAGAUACACAAAACCAUUAGAGAACUGAGACUUUGGUGCAAAACGGAUGUUAAAAAAAAAGUAAUGCAUGGUGCCUCGGUGGUUUUGGAAACUGUUGGAUCCAAAACCACAUGCAUGAAAGUGAAAUGUGUCCCUUGUCGAGUCGAUGGAGACCAACCCCAGCUGAUGUUCUUCCCUCGGGGACAACGUGACAUCUGCCAACC
ensembl:lncRNA